rnacentral:rRNA from 1 species
UACGGAGGAUCCAAGCGUUAUCCGGAAUUACUGGGCGUAAAGAGUUGCGUAGGCGGCAGAGUAAGCAAAUAGUGAAAGCGUAGGGCUCAACCCUAUAUCCAUUAUUUGAACUGCUCAGCUAGAACAUGAGAGAGGUAGCUGGAAUUCCUAGUGUAGGAGUGAAAUCCGUAGAUAUUAGGAGGAACACCGAAGGCGUAGGCAGGCUACUGGCUCAUUGUUGACGCUAAGGCACGAAAGCGUGGGGAGCGACCGGG